rnacentral:tRNA from 1 species
GCCGGGAUAGCUCAGUUGGUUAGAGCAUGGUGCUGUUAACGCCAAGCUUGCAGGUUUGAUGUCCAUAAGGAGCAGCU